ACAAGCGGAGGAGCAUGUGGUUUAAUUCGAUGAUACGCGAGGAACUUACCUGGGCUCGAACGUAAGAUGACUGUAGGUGAAAGCUUACAUCUCUUCGGAGCAUUUUACGAGGUGCUGCAUGGUUGUCGUCAGCUCGUGCCGUGAGGUGUCGGGUUAAGUCCCAUAACGAGCGCAACCCUACCUUUAGUUGCCAUCAGGUUAAGCUGGGGACUCUAAAGGAACUGCCUACGCAAGUAGUGAGGAAGGCGGGGAUGACGUCAAAUCAGCACGGCCCUUACGUCCAGGGCUACACACGUGCUACAAUGGCCGAUACAGAGGGCAGCUACCUGGUGACAGGAUGCAAAUCUCCAAAGUCGGUCUCAGUUCGGAUCGGAGUCUGCAACCCGACUCCGUGAAGCUGGAAUCGCUAGUAAUCGCGCAUCAGCCAUGGCGCGGUGAAUACGUUCCCGGGCCUU
rnacentral:rRNA from 1 species